rnacentral:lncRNA from 1 species
UCUUCUUCUCUAUAAACAACUCUAUAAAUAAAUUCAUUAAAAUUACUACAAAUCAUAGAACAUUGUUGAUUCCCAUCUAUAAAUUCUAUAAAAUCUUUAUAGUAUUCAUGAUUUGGAUAUUGAGUGAUAGUAGCAAAUACCAUUGACUUAGAGAGAGUAUUCCAAAGAAAUCUGCAUAAAUAAUUCAAAAAAUAAUAUUUGUAAAAAAUUUAACAAUUUUAAUCAAAGACAACUUAUAUUUGUAAAAAUUCAAAAAUACAUCAAGAAUAGAAAUUCAGAUCUUUGUGUGUGGAGACCCUUGGAUCUCCACGCACGGGAACCGUUCUUCUACACUCGUGAACUAAAUUUCUCAAAUAAAUGUUUACCUUUUCCAGCUGUGGGUAGAGAUUCUUCUACUGGAC